CAGUCGAACGAAGCACUUAAGACGGAUUACUUCGGUUUGAAGUCUUAUUUGACUGAGUGGCGGACGGGUGAGUAACGCGUGGGUAACCUGCCUCAUACAGGGGGAUAACAGUUAGAAAUGACUGCUAAUACCGCAUAAGCGCACGGUCUCGCAUGGGACGGUGUGAAAAACUCCGGUGGUAUGAGAUGGACCCGCGUCUGAUUAGCUGGUUGGUGAGGUAAGGGCUCACCAAGGCGACGAUCAGUAGCCGGCCUGAGAGGGUGAACGGCCACAUUGGGACUGAGACACGGCCCAAACUCCUACGGGAGGCAGCAGUGGGGAAUAUUGCACAAUGGGGGAAACCCUGAUGCAGCGACGCCGCGUGAAGGAAGAAGUAUUUCGGUAUGUAGACUUCUAUCAGCAGGGAAGAAAAUGACGGUACCUGACUAAGAAGCCCCGGCUAACUACGUGCCAGCAGCCGCGGUAAUACGUAGGGGGCAAGCGUUAUCCGGAUUUACUGGGUGUAAAGGGAGCGUAGGCGGUUCAGCAAGUCAGAAGUGAAAGCCCGGGGCUCAACUCCGGGACUGCUUUUGAAACUGUUGAACUAGAUUGCAGGAGAGGUAAGUGGAAUUCCUAGUGUAGCGGUGAAAUGCGUAGAUAUUAGGAGGAACACCAGUGGCGAAGGCGGCUUACUGGACUGUAAAUGACGCUGAGGCUCGAAAGCGUGGGGAGCAAACAGGAUUAGAUACC
rnacentral:rRNA from 1 species